GGUCAGUUAGUUCAAUUGGUAGAACGCUUCACUCAUGAUGAAGCAGUCGCUGAUCAAGCCCAGUACUGACCA
rnacentral:tRNA from 1 species